GGGGGUGUACUGGUUUCGACGGGGAUUUUGAAGUCAGGGAAGCCAUUCGCAGUUCCGGCGUCUGCGUCAACAAGCUGGAAAAUAUUUAAACGCUGAAGAUAAUAAUUUAGCAUUCGCAGCCUAAGGCUGCGUGUCAGCCUCUAAUCACCCGCUGUUAGAGAAUCUGGCAUCGACUUUGCGGGGCACUUGCAUGCCUAAGCUUUGCGGCUUGUAAAGACUAUCAUGAAGCUACUGAAGCGAUAAGCCUGUCGGCCGGCGUAUCGUAGAGGGAAUGUCAAAAGACCAACUAUAAUGGUAGAAGUCUGAUGGACGGAUUUUCGGACAGGGGUUCGAUUCCCCUCACCUCCAUC
rnacentral:tmRNA from 1 species